rnacentral:rRNA from 1 species
CGAACGGGUGAGUAACGCGUGAGGAACCUGCCUCAAAGAGGGGGACAACAGUUGGAAACGACUGCUAAUACCGCAUAAGCCCACGACCUGGCAUCGGGUUGAGGGAAAAGGAGCAAUCCGCUUUGAGAUGGCCUCGCGUCCGAUUAGCUAGUUGGUGAGGUAACGGCCCACCAAGGCAACGAUCGGUAGCCGGACUGAGAGGUUGAACGGCCACAUUGGGACUGAGACACGGCCCAG